rnacentral:rRNA from 1 species
GUAGUUAGCCGGGGCUUCCUCCUUGGCUACCGUCACUUCCUUCGUCACCAAGGACAGAGGUUUACAAUCCGAAAACCUUCUUCCCUCACGCGGCGUUGCUGGGUCAGGGUUCCCCCCAUUGCCCAAUAUUCCCCACUGCUGCCUCCCGUAGGAGUCUGGGCCGUGUCUCAGUCCCAAUGUGGCCGUUCACCCUCUCAGGUCGGCUACCCAUCGCUGACUUGGUGGGCCGUUACCUCACCAACUAUCUAAUGGGACGCGAACUCACCUCAAACCGGAUCUCCCCUUUUACCCCUGAGCCAUGCGACUCCGUGGUCUUAUGCGGUAUUAGCAACUGUUUCCAGUUGUUAUCCCCCUGUCUGAGACAGAUUGUUCACGCGUUACUCACCCGUCCGCCACUCGAACAAACCCCGAAGGACUUGUCCUCGUUCGACUUGCAUGUGUUAAGCACGCCGCCAGCGUUCGUCCUGAGCCAGAAUCGAACCCUGA